CAGUGUUUACUCUAUUAUGAGGAAGCCGCCAGCCUGGCCCUGGCCGCAACAAAAGCAGGAAGCGGGGAGAAAGCAUGAGGGGAUUAACCCUGCCAUCCCUGUGAGAAGGCAGCGCGGCGGCUCUCGGGGUCUCGCCCGCAGGCCAAGGGAGCUGGCGGAGCGUGGCCAGCCCACCACCCAGGCAUCCGGCCUGCACUGCCCGCAACCCCUUUCUUAAUCCGCUCGGGGUCUUGCAGGGGCUUCUGGCUCCCGCAGCGAAACGGGUCCAGCCACACGCAGAGCCAACCCAAGCCAAGCGUUCGCUUUCCAGGGCAGGCGGACAGAUGCGGGCAUGAAAGCUCACGCAAAAAGAGGGUGGGAGGGAAGGAAGGGCACCGCACUGCAGCUACUCGGCUCGUACAGGCAAUCCCAGAGAGGCCCGGACAUAACAGCUUAGAGAUUCUGUCAUACAGAGUGGGAAGCAUGUACAUUUUUGAAUAUUACUGGCAUUAAAAACACCACGAUAGUUUGAAGCCGGCGGCACUCUCGAGCAGUUAGACCACAACUCUCUGCUUCCUCCAGCCUUGCUGGAAGUCAUGGGUCAACGCCUCCAAGGGCACCAGUUUGAUCUGGAACAAUUGCAAGCAACCAGUUUGGCACUAACAGCACUGUGGGUCCAGGCCCCUGCUUCAUCCAAUACAAGUGCCCGGCCCUAUUUCUCAUCCUGAUUGCAAGUGGGCAAAUUGAAAGAUGUCUAUGCAGACUUAAGUCCUGAACAGCUUGCCCCUUUCCUUGGCUCCUGGAAAGACCAUCAUCCGAGAUCUGAAAUGUUCUCCUGUCCCUGAGGAAGGAAAAACGGAUCACGCUGCCUUCACAGAAUGGAGCAGAGAUAGAUCACUUUUGGCUACUGAUGCUCCCAGCGCACCACAGAGAAAGGAAGAGGCAGUGCUUUUAGAAGUCAUUAAUCUGCAGCCUCCUCUAGUGAUUCCACCGCAUCUCAACCCAAGAGCCUGCUUACUGCUGAAAGGGAACAGGAGGCAAGCCGACACCACCCCGCCACACACCACAAGCACACAAAGGGAUGCUCCUCCCAGAGAUACACGCACUGGCAUCCUCACCGCUGCCUGGAGCGAUCCUUCGCUGCAGUCGCCCUGCUAGGCCAAACCGGCCAGGAGCUACUCGCUGCCCCAGAGCCAAGAGGCUGCUGGUCAUCUGAGGUGACCUACAAGCUCCCAGGCCUCUCUGGGCACCACACACCAACAGUCAGCACAAGAGCUGGCCCUCUUCUCCAGAGCUGUGGCCAGCCUGUGGAGCUCCCCGGCCCAGGGGGUGUCUGCCAGCAGCACCCUCCCUGACAGGGCCCUCCUGUCCCGCCACCCUCGGCCCAGCCAAGACUGGCUCUUGCUUCGUUUUGCUUCAGAUCCCUUCCCAGCUUCCAAAAAGGCUGCGUUUGCUGUUAUGACCACUUUCCUCCUCAGCUGCGGCCAUGUCAUUCGAUUUGGUUCUUUAUUUCUUCCCUUUCGCGUAAUAAGGAGCCUGAUGCAGCUUCAAGCAAGACAGAACGGCAGGACACACCUCUUACAAUAAGGCGGGCAAACCCCACCCAACAAAGAUAACAACGCUUAUCGGUUUAAACCAGAAGCACAAAGCCUCUUUCUCCCCAAGAGCCCGAUUCCCUUUUGGAAAGGCUUUGGGGGGCACGUUUUGGCCCCGGGUUGGGCUGCAGGCAAAAGGGGCAAGCUCAAGGAAGCCAAUCUCCUUUUACUGGAAGCUCUGACUGGCAGGCACUGAGCCUCCAAGACACAACUCGGGCUGUUGGAAGGCUGGAAAAUCACACCAAGGCCAGAAAACUGCAACAUGCGUGGAGAGGAAGGCCCUUGCCGAGUCCUCCCCGUGACGCUCUGGCAGCUGCUAGUGGAGGGCCUGCGCAUUCCUUCCAAGCCACCACAGCCACAGCUGACCGAUCGGACAGGCAGAGGUCCCAGUCCCUGCCCCCUCUCUCCUAGGGGAAUUAGUGGCAGCUGCAGCUCUGGUCCCAACAGCUCCUGCGCUCGCCCAUUUGACCGAAUCAGAGUUGCGAAGCCCAGAAGCGGCUCCUUCCCCUGGAGCAGGGUGCCGACGCUGAGGCGGGGGUCACACCCUGCCGGCUUGGGUCCCUCUGGUGUCCUCUCCCCCUUCCUCUGGUUCCCCGCUCUUUCCUGGCACUGUGGAUUACUUGGUAGUCUGGCCACACGCAUUGCAAAAGGCCGACUGACUCCCCAAAGGCUUAACUCCUGGCAGUAAGAGCUUUAAAAGAACAUCUUUUCUUCAUUCA